rnacentral:rRNA from 1 species
GUAGGGUGCAAGCGUUAAUCGGAAUUACUGGGCGUAAAGCGUGCGCAGGCGGUUUUGUAAGUCAGAUGUGAAAUCCCCGAGCUCAACUUGGGAACUGCGUUUGAAACUACAAGACUAGAAUAUGUCAGAGGGGGGUAGAAUUCCACGUGUAGCAGUGAAAUGCGUAGAGAUGUGGAGGAAUACCAAUGGCGAAGGCAGCCCCCUGGGAUAAUAUUGACGCUCAUGCACGAAAGCGUGGGGAGCAAACAGGAUUAGAUACCCUGGUAGUCCACGCCCUAGACGAUGUCUACUAGUUGUUGGUGGAGUAAAAUCCAUGAGUAACGCAGCUAACGCGUGAAGUAGACCGCCUGGGGAGUACGGUCGCAAGAUUA